rnacentral:rRNA from 2 species
GCCCUUACGACCAGGGCUACACACGUGCUACAAUGGCAUAUACAAAGAGAAGCGACCUCGCGAGAGCAAGCGGACCUCAUAAAGUAUGUCGUAGUCCGGAUUGGAGUCUGCAACUCGACUCCAUGAAGUCGGAAUCGCUAGUAAUCGUAGAUCAGAAUGCUACGGUGAAUACGUUCCCGGGCCUUGUACACACCGCCCGUCACACCAUGGGAGUGGGUUGCAAAAGAAGUAGGUAGCUUAACCUUCGGGAGGGCGCUUACCACUUUGUGAUUCAUGACUGGGGUGAAGUCGUAACAAGGUAACCGUAGGGGAACCUGCGGUUGGAUCACCUCCUUACCUUAAAGAA